rnacentral:rRNA from 1 species
CCUACGGGAGGCAGCAGUGGGGAAUAUUGGGCAAUGGGCGCAAGCCUGACCCAGCAACGCCGCGUGAAGGAAGACGGCUUUCGGGUUGUAAACUUCUUUUCUUGGGGACGAACAAAUGACGGUACCCCCGGAAUAAGCCACGGCUAACUACGUGCCAGCAGCCGCGGUAAUACGUAGGUUGCAGGCGUUAUCCGGAUUUAUUGGGUGUAAAUGGCGGGUAGGCGGGGAUGCAAGUCAGAUGUGAAAGCUCAGGGCUCAACCCUGGACCUGCAUUUGAAACUGUGUGUCUUGAGUGUUGGAGAGGCGAUCGGAAUGCGGGGGGUAGCGGUGAAAUGCGUAGAUAUACGGAGGAACACCAGUGGCGAAGGCGGAUUGCUGGACAGUAACUGACGCUGAGGCGCGAAAGCGUGGGGAGCAAACAGGAUUAGAAACCCGUGUAGUC